UCCGCUUGCAAGCACGCACACACAGUUGCAUAACAUACACGUAGUCAGCGGAUGCGCAUAUGGUUGUAAAAUACUCGUCGGUGAUUGGUCGGUUUGUGGAGGCAAUGGCUUCCCGCAAUGUGGACCCGACGACGUGCGAGGUGACACGAGUCACACAUUUCGUCCACACAACACAAACUUCGACAUUGCAAAUGUAUAAAUUGUAAAUUAUCGCCUAGGUUUCUUGCGCUGUGCAAGACUUGCGACACUUCAAAGCAGAAAAACAACUUUUGCACCGCUAGCAGAAGAAUAAAUACACCUAAACAUGAAGUUAUAUUCAAGUCAUAACAUUCUGCGUGGAAUACUAUUACAAGGCCGGUUUUACUACGCCCGGCGUGAUGCAUUGUCCUAUUAUAAUCGUGUGAUCUAUUUAUAUCCGCAAUAAUAUUAUGUUGGAAAUGUUGGCAAGGCGUGCGAGCGCCGGUUGAACUUAACAAACGUAAUAAAACGCGUUUAGCAAGUGCAUAUAAUUAAA